AUUGAAACACAGGUUUCCAUAUGAUCACAAAAGUUAAGCAACGUCAAGCCUGGUCAGUACCUAGAUGAGUACACUUGGGAAUACCAGGUGCUGUAAG